UCUGACAGAAAUGGGGAAUGCCCACCUCAGGAAUGCCAGUAUGUGCCAGCCUCUCUGGAUAGACGACCCUGCUGGUUUUUUUCUUCCCUGGCCCUGGCUUCGUCCAGGAUUCUCGGAUGUCACUCAGAGCGCCUGACAUCUGGGAGGCUAGUUAGCACACCAGUGCUUGAAGAGGCCAUGUGUGUUUGGUGGGAAACCCUCAUGCUGCUGUCCAGCUCACACACACACAGAGCACACACACUCACAGCACAAGGCUCAUUUAAAGGGCCAAUCCUCUUGACCACAUCUGUUUCCGUUGAGAGAUUUUUGCUAUUCUGGAUUUGGAAGCAAACACUUAGUUUGUAGAAAAAUGGUAUGGAUAUUGCUCUACUCAAAAUUGCACCAUAAUUGUAUUGCACCCCCUGCAUUUUCUUCAUGGAAUUUUAUAUAGACACAAAGUAGAUUUUAAGGUGAUGUGUGAGGAUAGAUAGUCAGAAACAAUGCAGCCAUCUCUGAUGAGUUCAGAGGUAAACCCAGAGUUGCGUAAUGUGAGCGAAGGUGUUGGAAAAUAGAACUUUCAUACCUCAUUAUGCAUCAUGGGAAACAGUAUGACUAAAAUCUGUGUUCUCAUUGUUGUAUAAAUGGGGGAUUUCUGACAGAGAGACUCGCCAACAUUUUUUACUCCUUCCCAAAAAUCUUUACGAGAUAGGUGCAUUUUUUUCCCAGGCUAGAACAACAGCCUGUUCCCUGUGGAACUGAGAGACUGACUGUAAGUCACACACACACACACACACACACACACACACACACACACAAGACUGCCCUAUAGAGAAGCAGGAAACGUCUAAAAAUAGGCUCGAUUAAAGGUAUGUUAUGGCAGGGACACAUGAGAAGGAUGUACUUGUGUAAGAGAGAGAUUUGCUCCUUAGCAUUCCUGCCUCUGUUUCUCAUGUGAAAGUUUGGGAAAGAGCCCAAGCAGAUGAGAAGUGGCCCGUUUAUUUUCCUUUAAGGUUCAACAUUCUCUGUGUCACAGUUCAGAGAAAAAGAAGUGUGUGUGUGUGUGUGUGUGUGUGUGUGUGUGUGUGUGUGUGUGUGUGUGUGUGUGUGUGUGUGUGUGUGUGUGUGUGUGUGUGUGUGUGUAUGUAUGUCCAUUUCAAACACAUUAGUUUUUGAUAGAACAUUUUAGUUGCAUGUUUCCUGUAAAACAUACACACUAAAUGGGAAAUUUGGCUACUACUACUACUACUGCUACUUCUACUACUACUAAUAAAAACUUUUCGUUAUUGUCGAUUAUCA
ensembl:lncRNA